rnacentral:rRNA from 1 species
CGAGGGUGCAAGCGUUACUCGGAAUCACUGGGCGUAAAGCGCGCGCAGGCGGCCUUUUAAGUUGGAUGUGAAAGCCUAUGGCUCAACCAUAGAACUGCAUCCAAAACUAUCAGGCUAGAGUGUGGGAGAGGAAGAUGGAAUUAGUUGUGUAGGGGUAAAAUCCGUAGAGAUAACUAGGAAUACCAAAAGCGAAGGCAAUCUUCUGGAACAUUACUGACGCUGAGGCGCGAAAGCGUGGGGAGCAAACAGGAUUAGAUACCCGAGUAGUCC